rnacentral:rRNA from 1 species
GAUGAACGCUGGCGGCGUGCCUAAUACAUGCAAGUCGAGCGAACAGACGAGGAGCUUGCUCCUCUGACGUUAGCGGCGGACGGGUGAGUAACACGUGGAUAACCUACCUAUAAGACUGGGAUAACUUCGGGAAACCGGAGCUAAUACCGGAUAAUAUAUUGAACCGCAUGGUUCAAUAGUGAAUGACGGUUUUGCUGUCACUUAUAGAUGGUUCCGCGCCGCAUUAUCUAGUUGGUAAGGUAACGGCUUACCAAGGCAACGAUGCGUAGCCGACCUGAGAGGGUGAUCGGCCACACUGGAACUGAGACACGGUCCAGACUCCUACGGGAGGCAGCAGUAGGGAAUCUUCCGCAAUGGGCGAAAGCCUGACGGAGCAACGCCGCGUGAGUGAUGAAGGUCUUCGGAUCGUAAAACUCUGUUAUUAGGGAAGAACAAAUGUGUAAGUAACUAUGCACGUCUUGACGGUACCUAAUCAGAAAGCCACGGCUAACUACGUG